rnacentral:rRNA from 1 species
AUUGAACGCUGGCGGCAGGCCUAACACAUGCAAGUCGAACGAGUGGCGGACGGGUGAGUAAUGUCUGGGAACCUGCCCGAUGGAGGGGGAUAACUACUGGAAACGGUAGCUAAUCCCGCAUACCAUCGGAUGUGCCCAGAUGGGCUUAGCUAGUAGGUGGGGUAACGGCUCACCUAGGCGACGAUCCCUAGCUGGUCUGAGAGGAUGACGGGCCACACUGGAACUGAGACACGGUCCAGCCUCCAACGGGAGGCAGCAGUGGGGAUUAUUGCACAAUGGGCGCAAGCCUGAUGCAGCCAUGCCGCGUGUAUGAAGAAGGCCUUCGGGUUGUAAAGUACUUUCAGCGAGGAGGCGUUACUCACAGAAGAAGCACCGGCUAACUCCGUGCCAGCAGCCGCGGUAAUUC